rnacentral:rRNA from 1 species
CAGUCGCCGCGGUAAUACGGAGGGGGCUAGCGUUGUUCGGAAUUACUGGGCGUAACGCGCACGUAGGCGGCUUUGUAAGUUAGAGGUGAAAGCCUGGAGCUCAACUCCAGAAUUGCCUUUAAGACUGCAUCGCUUGAACGUCGGAGAGGUGAGUGGAAUUCCGAGUGUAGAGGUGAAAUUCGUAGAUAUUCGGAAGAACACCAGUGGCGAAGGCGGCUCACUGGACGACUGUUGACGCUGAGGUACGAAAGCGUGGGGAGCAAACAGGAUUAGAUCCCCAGUAGUCCCUGUCUCUUAUACA